CAGACCAGAUUUGGUAGGUCUAGCUCUUAUGGUUUAGGAGGAGUUCUUAGAUAGACUAACAGAUGCUCAGACAGAUGGACUCAGAUGGACACACUCUAGAUAGAUAGAUAGAUAACCUCACAAUGUGUUCUUCACUAGCCGUUGUGCUUGCUAGUUGUAAAUACAGAAAAUCCUCCUUUUAAAAUGGGUGUAGAGCUGAGUAUGACAGACAAACAAAAAGAGCAAAUAGCAAAGUAGCAGACGUUAAUGUUCAGAGGUAGGACCCUAUUUCUGAAUAUGGAACAUUUGGGUAGGUGACUACCUAUCUGAUCCACUGUUACUGUAAUCUACAAAAAUUUAGGUGCAUAAUUUUUUUUAUGCAUGUUUUUGUACAGUUUUAGGUCUCCCUUUGAGAACUUGACUCUCAGGAAUGUUGCUCUUUGAUAUUUUACUUUUAUACCAUUGAGAUAAAGAAAAUGUUUAAAAUUAUUGCCAUAUAUUAAAUAGCAUGCAAAUAUGAAGAAUAUCAAUACAAAUCCUAUAAUUUAAGAACUAAGACUAACAGUAAUUUCAGUUUUCUGUUCUAGCAAUUUAAGGAUAUAAACUUUUAAAAACUUUGUAUUUCAGACUCAGAAAAAGAAACAGGAAGACCCGAAGAUACGGAGUUUUGGACACCAAUAUAGAAAAUAUGGAGUUGACACCAUUAGAACAAGAUGAUGACGAUGAUGAUACAACAUUGUUUGAUGCCAGUCAUCCUCGAAGAUAAGUAUGUGCCUUUCAUUGAGAAAAAAUAAUCUUAGAUCAACAGAAAAAAGAAGAUCAUGCCGGAGGAAUAAGAAGCCAAUAUAUCUUGGGGGUAUUUAAAUGGUGUAUAUUAUGGUAUACUUUGUUGCAAUAAGUACUGUAACAAUUUGUUAUACCUCUUUGUAUAUACAAAAAAUACUCUAAAUUCAGAGCCUAUGGGAGGGGUGUGCAGUAAAACUCAAACUCAAAACAAUUUGAAAAGUACGAUUCCCUUUUAAAACAGUAUUUUGCUGCUUGUUUUAAUACCCUAUUGGUGUAUAUGGUAUUCACUUUUCUAUACCAGUCUGGAGUAUGUUCACUUAUUUUUGCCAACGUAAUAUUUUAUGUCAGCAUAAACAUUUUAUUUGUGUGUGGAUUCUGUAGUAUGGCUAGAUUUUCUGUAGGUUAGUUGAGAUUCUUUUCCUGUCUUGAAAGAGCUGUGCCAAACUACUGUCUUUUUUUUUUUGUUUUGAUUUUUUUAACUAGAUUAAUAAGUUACUGUUUGUAAACAUUAUUUAAAACUGCCUAAGUGCACCAAUAAAAAUGUUUACAAUAUUCCUAACAUUGUGUAAGAAACUAUUUUUGUAGGUUUUAAAGGUGCCUUUGAUAGGAUCUUAUGAAAUAUGAUUAUGUUAUGGCCAUUCUAGUCAACCAGUUAUAACUAGUAGUUCCAUCGGUUUCUCUAACACAUGCAGUCACACGGAUGUAAACAGAGAGGAAAAUCUAUCUCCCCAGUCCAAUUUUUCAGGUAAUGUAAAUCUGUAUCGCUACAUUAACAUCAGUGAAGCUACUCUUAACUUCUACCAGUUGAAGAUCUGGUCCUUAAUGUUCAAAUCUUCCAAAAAAAGUCAAGUAGGAAGCCUUCAUUUAAUCCUUAAUCAGUUUCCUUAAGAUAUUGCAAGAUAAUGGCUGAUGCAGGACUCAAUAAGGAAAGAGUUAAAGGAGGGUAAUAUAACUAAUGGCAAUCAACAUGAGUUUAUGAAAAAAGAUGCUGUCAGACUAAAUUGAUAAUGUCUAUCAGAUUACAAGUUUGGUUGACAAAAUUAAUAGUCAAUUGCUGUAAUAUACUUAGAUUUCUGUAAGGAGUUCUACUUGAUACUGUAUGAUAUUUUUAUUUUUAAAACCCCCUAGAAUAAUAUAAAUUAACACGUUACAUGGAUUAAAAAUUGGCUAUCUGAUACACUUUGAAAUGAAAUUGUAAAUGGGGAAUCAGCAAUGAAUGGGCAUGUUUCUAGUUAGGUCCAUAGGGAUUGGUUCUUGGCUUUAUACCACUUAACUUUACCAGUGACCUGGAAGAAAGCACAAUUAUCACUGAAGGGUCACAGAUGACACACAAAUUAGGGGAGUGGUAAAUAAUGAAGAAAACAGAUCAUUGAUACAGAGCAAUCUGGAUCAGUUGGUAAGCUGGGCACAAACAAAUAUGCAUUUUAAUAGGUAUAAAUGUUUACAUCUAGGAACAAAGAAGGGAAGCCAUACUUACAAGAUGUGGGACUGAAUCCUGGGAAACAAUGACUUUGGGGUUGUGAUGAUGAUCAGCUAAAUAAGAGCACCACUGUGGCAAAAGGGCAACUAUGAUCCUUCAGUGCAUAAAAGGGGGAAUUUGAAGUAGGAGUAGAGAGUAUAUUUUAUUUCUGUGUUUGUCACUUGUGUGACUGCUGCUGGAACACUGUCCAGUUCUGGUGUCAACAAUUCAAGACAGAUGUUAAACUGAAGAGUGUUCAGAGAAGAGCCAUGAGAGGGAAGGAUUAGAACACAUGCCUUCUAAAAGAUGCAUGAAGACGUUCAGUCUGUUUAGCUUAACAGAGAGCUGAUUUGAUUAGUCUGUAAGUCUCUGCAUGAGAGCAAAUAUUUAAUAAUGGGCUGUGCUGUCUAGCAGAGAAAGGUAUAACACAAUUCAGUGGCUGUAAGCUGAAACCAGACAAGUAAGAUGAGUACAUUUUUAUCAGUGAGAGGAAGUAAGUGUUAGAAUUUACCAAGGGUCAUGAUGGGAGCCAACUCUAAUUAUAAGGUAGUUUAAGUUUCACACAUGUUCAGUCUCUUGUAUUUCUGCCAAGAUUAUCAAAAAGGGUGCCAAUAUGGUUUUGAUGGGUUUCUCUUGUUUACAAAAUGAAUAUAUUGCCUGCAAAUAUGCUGGGAAGGCUUAGAUUUUAAUUUGUAAAUGACAGUACAGAUUUUAUUGUGCAUACACAAAUUAAACAUUUCCAUUGAUAAAUGAAAUGUAUGAAUAGACAAAGUAAGAAAAAUGCUGCUUGAAAACUUUAAAGUUUGAUUUAAGGGUAUUUCUUUUAUAUAUGUUGACAUGUGAUGUUCAUACUUAGUGUGUUAAUGGUUGUAAAGCAUAAACUUUUUGAAUCUCAACAUCUGUCAUCUCUGACAAUCCAAUAAUUUCCCGCAACUGUGAGCAAUUAUUUUUGCUGACCCAUAAUGUUGUGCAACUAUGAAAAUUUAAAUCUCUGAAAAUAAGAAAAUAUGCUUAAAAUAAACAUUGAUACUGUC